UUUCCUACGGGAGGCAGCAGUGGGGAAUAUUGGGCAAUGGGCGCAAGCCUGACCCAGCAACGCCGCGUGAAGGAAGAAGGCUUUCGGGUUGUAAACUUCUUUUCUCAGGGACGAAGCAAGUGACGGUACCUGAGGAAUAAGCCACGGCUAACUACGUGCCAGCAGCCGCGGUAAUACGUAGGUGGCAAGCGUUAUCCGGAUUUACUGGGUGUAAAGGGCGUGUAGGCGGGAGAGCAAGUCAGACGUGAAAUUCCAGGGCUCAACCCUGGAACUGCGUUUGAAACUGUUCUUCUUGAGUGAUGGAG
rnacentral:rRNA from 1 species